AUACGUAGGUGCCAAGCGUUAUCCGGAUUUACUGGGCGUAAAGGGCGUGUAGGCGGUCUUGCAAGUCAGAAGUGAAAUUCCUGAGCUCAACUCGGGCGCUGCUUCUGAAACUGCAGGACUUGAGUGCUGGAGGGGAUAGCGGAAUUCCUAGUGGAGCGGUAAAAUGCGCAGAUAUUAGGAAGAACACCGGUGGCGAAGGCGGCUAUCUGGACAGUAACUGACGCGGAGGCGCGAAAGCGUGGGGAGCAAACAGGAUUAGAUACCCGGGUAGUCCACGCCGUAAACGAUGAAUACUAGGUGUAGGGGGUAUCGACUCCCUCUGUGCCGCAGUUAACACAAUAAGUAUUCCGCCUGGGGAGUACGGCCGCAAGGUUGAAACUCAAAUGAAUUGGCGGGG
rnacentral:rRNA from 1 species